GGCUAACGCUGGCGGCGUGUCUUAGCCAUGCAAGUCGAGCGGACUUAUGGGGUAACUUAUAAGUCAGCGGCGGACGGCGGAGUAACACGUAGCUAACCUACCCUCUGGACGGGGAUAACCUACCGAAAGGUGGGCUAAUACCCGAUGUAGUCAUCCUGUAUAGGGGUGAUGAAAGGUGGGCUUCUGUUUACAAGCUCAUGCUGGAGGAGGGGGCUGCGGCCUAUCAGGUAGUUGGUAGGGUAAUAGCCUACCAAGCCGAUGACGGGUAGCCGGCCUGAGAGGGUGACCGGCCCGAGGGGCACUGAGAUACGGGUCCCACUCCUACGGGAGGCAGCAGGCUAGAAAUUUGGGCAAUGGGGGAAACCCUGACCCAGUGACGCCGCGUGCAGGAAGGAGCCCUUCGGGGUGUAAACUGCUGUCGUGUAGGGAGAAGGGUACUAAGGUGAACAAUCUUAGUACUUGACGGUACUACAGGAGGAAGCCCAGGCUAACCUCGUGCCAGCAGCCGCGGUAAGCUCGUCUCUA
rnacentral:rRNA from 1 species